rnacentral:lncRNA from 1 species
UUUCUUUUUAAUCCUCACUCCUGCACUGGAGAACCUGUUGACUGGCUGAAUGGGCUUGGUCAGCCAUAAACAGGACAUCUCUAUCACACUCAUUCUCCAAGGCCAAAGGGAUCAUCAUCAUGCAGAAGGAGAGAGGCUGAUUCUGAGAGCCAGAGGCCAGGAUUGGGCUGUGCCCCACCUGUAGCUUUAACUACAAAUGAUUCUACAUUGCCUGUUCCAGGAAUGGAAAUCAUGUCUGUUUCACAAAGUUGUUUAAAACCGUCUUGCAAGCCUACCUCUGUUUCAAUAAGGUAAUGGCAGAAUUGACUCAACUCUCAGAGCAGUGACUUUCCUAACUCCUGGCUAUGGUCGAGUUGCUUCAGUGUCGCCAGCUUUCCUGUUGCUUUCUCCUGGGCCAGCUCACCACUUCUCAAACUACACACUUUUGCAACAGCAGCAAGAUCUUCCUGACAUCUUCCUCAAGCCCAAGUUUUGGUUGUAGUUUAUCUUAUUUUACUUUAGUUUUGCCUUGGACCACGGAAUGGAUAUCUUUUCCAUCAGUGAACAGGCUGCAUCUUCCACUGUGGCUCACUGCAUGCUUGAAGGACAGCCAUUAGUCUGUAACACUGUGCAGUGUUGUCCUUCAGGUAGCUGCCACAAAGAUAACUCUAUUCUCUUCUCAGGCUAAGCUAUGGACUCUCCCCUUCUGAGCAGGCGGGGGCACCCUGGGUACCCCCCUUCUGACAUUUCAAGUCUUUGUGAGGCUAGGCACUUCCUCUCCCAC